UGAAAAUUAAUUUUUGGAAAAGGACCAUCCAAUUGUAUCAAAUUUCUGUGAGAAAAGAAGAGGAGAGUGGUCUUCUCCUCUCUUCCAUCUUCGUCUGAUUAGUAGUAGAUGAUGAGUAAAGAAGCGGGGCUCGGGGUUUAUGCUUGUCCACUUGCUACGAAUAUAAAUUUUUAAUCAAAAUUUGACAAAUCUGCUCACACGUUCUACUUUACUGUGCCCUGUGCGCGUUUUCUUGGGACAUGAGCCUUUGUUUUUGUGCAGAGACAGACCUACACACGAGCCUUUGUUCUUGGGACAAGUUCUUACAUACAUGCACGCACAUCGAGUCCUCUCUUGAAACCAACCCCUGUUGUUGUUUAUAGGGUUUUCUUUUCCUUCAAACUUUUCUGCUCGUGUUUUCUCUUUUGAGCCUUGAUCUUGUGCCCUGAAAAGCUACCAUUUUUCUUUGAAAAUCCCACAACGCGUUCUCUUUCUUUUGCUGUGGGCAGCAAAAGGGUACAAAGGGAAAAAUUAAAGAAACCAGGAAGAAGCUGUUUCACGAUCAGACCAAAAUGUCCCAAUUUUUGCUUCAAUCUGAGGCUUGUUUUGGGACCUUUAACACUCUUCUAAUCUUUGCUUUUUAAUUGGGUUGCUUCUGUUCUUUCUGAAAUUCGUUUCUUGGGCUGGAAUCCAGUUGAGUCUGAGUCUAAUCAUUCAAGAAACCGUAUUCCCUCGAAGCAUAGAAUUUCAUUUUGCUUAUUCCAGGUUCAUUUUUAUUAUGGACUGUAGACAAGAUUACCGUCUUCACAGCUACAAAUUUGAAAUCAAAGGUUACCCAUUUAGCCGUUUUCAUCAAGAAUUUCUCAUCUUCAUGUUCCAUGUGGUUCUAAUCAUUUUUAGUUUCUCUUAAGACCUUAGUCAAAUUCUUGUUCCGCUCAUUUGUUUCUCUGUUAUAUUUUCCGAUUUCAUUUACCAAAAAAAUGGGUUGUGUUCAUGGAAAGUGUUGUAGUCGAUACCCGUCAUCAUCAGACGGUGAUCAUCGUCCUGAAGUGAGUCCGAACAGUUUCCAUAACAAGCACUUGAUUACACGAAGAACUCUAGAGUCUGCUCCUGUUCCCUUACAUAACUACAAAUUAGAGUACUCUUUCUUGACACAACGUGGGCACUAUCCGGACUCGCCUGAUAAGGAAAACCAAGACAGUUUCUGCAUCAAAACCCAAGUUCAAGGUAACCCAAAUGUUCAUUUCUUUGGUGUAUUUGAUGGGCAUGGUCAAUUUGGCACUCAGUGUUCAAAUUUUGUUCAGCAAAAAUUGAUUGAGGUAUUGGAAAAUGAACCCUUGUUGUUGGAUGAUCCUGUUAGAGCUUAUAAUGCAGCAUUUCAAACGGUAAAUAAUGAGUUACAUAUGAGUGAAAUUGAUGAUACAAUGAGUGGUACGACCGCGAUUACCGUUCUUCUUAUUGGAGAUAAAAUAUAUGUUGCUAAUGUGGGUGAUUCGAGGGCAGUAAUUGCCGUCAAAGAUGGGAAUAAAAUUGUUGCUGAGAGCUUGUCUCAUGAUCAAACGCCAUUUAGGAAAGAUGAGUGUGAGAGGGUGAAGCUUUCUGGGGCAAGGGUUCUGAGUGUUGAUCAGGUGGAAGGGCUUAAGGACCCAAAUAUUCAGACAUGGAGUGAUGAAGAGAGCCAUGGGGGUGAUCCUCCCAGGUUGUGGGUUCAGAAUGGGAUAUAUCCGGGGACGGCAUUUACUAGAAGUGUUGGUGAUAGUAUUGCUGAGAAGAUUGGUGUAGUUGCAGUUCCUGAGGUUGCGGUGGUUCAGCUUACUUCCAAUCAUUCAUUUUUUGUAGUUGCCAGUGAUGGAAUAUUUGAGUUCCUUUCGAGCCAAGCUGUUGUCGAUAUGGCAGCAAAUUAUACGGAUCCUCGGGAUGCUUGUUCUGCAAUAGCUGGAGAAUCAUACAAACUGUGGCUGGAGCAUGAAAAUCGAACUGAUGAUAUCACAAUUAUCAUUGUCAACAUUAAAGACUUUUUUAAUCCAGGUGCUGCUUCUGCUGACACAAGCGGAUACAAUCUUAGGCCUUUACUUCUGAAAAAUGGAAAGGGAGGUUCUGACAUGGCGACUCCUUCAGGGUCAGAACUUUUUCGUUCAGUAAGAAGUGAUUUGUCAGACCUUCAGCAAACUGUUUCAAUUACUCAAAAUCAAGCUAGUACUGGUUCAUCUCUGACUCGUCGGAAGCCUGUAGAAUUGUGAUCCGGAUCGAAGGCUUUUAGAAGCUACCUUGGAUACUGUGUUUAAUUUUAUCAAGUGGAUGUCGGCUUCAGGCAGCAGAAGCCAUUUGUUCUGCAUAUCUUCUUCACUGAUUCCAGGCCAGGAUAUCUUAGUGAUGUUAUUGAAAAACUGUUAUUAACCAGUAACCACACAACAUGCUACUGGGAGAACAAAAUGCUCUCCUUAUAGCUGUAACCUGCUGAUUGAGAGGUAGAGAGGAAGGAAAUGAAAAGAUUUGAAGAGGCUUUUGGCAGAUUGAACAGUUGGUAGUUGAUGAUCGAGGAAAUGUGAAUUUGAAGAUAUGUUUUCAUUAUGGCUGUAAAGUUGCUCGGGAUGUUAGCUUUAAAGUUCAAUUAUAUGUAAACCCCACUUAUGAUCAUCUCACCAAUACGAACAUCGAAUGAGGGAUGUAACUUCCAGAGGUAUAUGAUUGAUAACACCAUUUCCUUGGCAA